CAACUAUCAAAAAAAAAAGAAAAAAAAAAGAAGGAUCAUCCAGUUAACACAGUAUGAAGAAUAAAGCGUAUGUACGUUUUUGAACGGGGUCCUUUUUGUCUAUAAAUUCAACUAUUAUUUUCUCUUGUGGACUAUAUGUAGGCCUAAACAUAUGUUUUGUUAAAUAACGUAUUCACGUCAGUACUAAAUAAUAAAAAAAUCCAUUUUGUAUCAUCCCUCUUAUUUUGUUAAAAUAGUUAAUACUUUGCAGAUACUGCAAAGUGUAUGUAAAAUUUUUACCACAGCUGUAUAUACUCAUAGGCCUAUUCAACGAAAGAUGGCAGUACACUAGCGCAGUACACAACUGAAAGAAAUGAGGGAAGCUUAAAGAAACAUGAAUGAUGUUCACAGCGAACAUAAAAUCUUUUUCCUCCAGGGGGUGCAUGAUGGCCUAUAAAGGCAGGCUGUCCACUGCACAUUAUUAAAAUCUCAACAUGGUUUUUUAAAAUCUCAACAAAAGAUGUGUGCACACUAAAACUAAUAAUCUUUCGAAUAAGAUUCAUGCCCAAACUGCCACCUGACAAUCACAUCAUGUAUACUUGCUCCAUUUAUCUGUAUGAUAUGUUUUUAAAGAAAUUCGAAUUCAAUAAUCACAAAUCACUGUGAUUGGUCCACCUUGAGGUGUGCUAAGAAAAGUAACGUAUAUAACGUGCCUUAUAUAUCACCGCUGCUUUAGCAGUGCUCUUGACAAUAAUUUCUGCCCGAGUAAUUACACAGAUUACCUAUUAAAAACAAAUACAAAGUAAAGAUAAAAAAUGGAGAAUUAUUAUUUUCAAUUAUCGUUGCUGACCUUGCUGACCAACAACACACAAAACUCAAACCGAUGAGCCCCGCCCCCUAAAAUUCCACCUUUUGCUGUUUGCCGUUCUAAGCUCACUUGUUAGACGCAUGCGCAGUGUAUAACGGAACGAGUCAACGGACGAAGUUGGAAACAAGACUGUUUGUCAAUCCAAAUAAUAUAUUCAAACAAAGAAGCAAUGGAGUCUGUCCCUCCUCUCUCUUCACUCCGCCUGCUGGUUUCUCCUCUACGCCUCACAUCUGCCUUCAUGUGGCAAGUUGUCAAGGAUCAGAAUGUGGAGCAAUUUGGAAAACUGGAAGAAUUUGUUUCUGUGAUGACAAACCUUGUGCCAGAGCUCUUAAGUAGGAGGCAGAGGGCCACUUUGAUAGUAGGGCUGCGGGCAAAGAUGAUUCUUGAGAUGUGUCGAGGUGAGCUCCCAGCAGACCUUUGUACGGUCAAAUCACACAUUCACCAAAUUCAGACUGCUGAUUUAUUAAAGGUAUGUCAAGUCUGGAUGUUUUUUAAUCUAUUGCACAUCUAUUUGUUUUUUAUAUAUAU